GUUCUGCUUGGAGGACUUGUGCCGACAGGGUUGCCAAUAACAUCCUUACACACACAGCUGGCCUCGACGGAUGGCCUGUCUUGAUCUAAACAGAGUAAUUCAGGACCCUCAGCCGCAUGGCUGGGGUUUGGGGACAGAGUGGAGUUCAGGCUCCAGCUGGUAAAAACUGGGACUAGAUAAAGACAUUCAGCGUGACGAGCCAGGCAGCAGCAUGUGAUUGUUUUCUUUAGCUGCAUUUCACCCCACAGAGAAGUCAGGGGCAGUUUCUGUCCCGAGAAAACCUGCACCCCACGCUGUGUGACCUGAUCAAAGCAGAAAGGCUGCGGGGGCCUGAGUGCCCCUUCAGAUAUUCUCUAGCACAUUCUCUGUCAGGAGCGGUUCUCAUUUCCUCUCGGGAAGGCUUGUCACUAGAAAGUUGUUCAGCCUCUUGGUUCUGGGUGACAGGAAUCUCUGACACACAAGAAACGUUAUUAUAUUUCUUUAAAUUCAACAAAGCAUCCUCCGCCCUCCCCGGAUGACCUCCUUGUUUUUCCUGUGUCUGUUACCAGAGUCACCUAGGCCAGGAACUCGGGAGCCAGCCCUCCUCCUCCCUCUCUUCCAUGCUCCGUGUCCAAUCUGCUACCGGAUUCUGUCCCUUUUGCUUCCUUUUAAAACAAAUUAAAUCCAUGUGUUUCUCACUGCGCCUACCGCACCUCCCUUAGGCCCGCCUCGUCACUUCCUGGCCCAGGCGGCUGUAACUCCCUCCCAACUACCCUCUCUUCCUCCCGUCUCGCUGCACGCACAGCUUCCCUAAAUGUAAAUCCACCGCAUCUCCCUCCCCGCUGAUAAACCCCGGGAGAGGGACUGACGGUGGCCAGAGGGCGGGAGCCCACGCCAGCCUCUCUCCCCUCCUUCCUACAGCGAACACCCCUGGACCCUGAAGAGGGCUCUGCAAGGUUAGCUGCGGCAGUGCGCCGGGGAGGGGAGCCACGCCUGAAGUACGACCCAGAACAGGGAGGAACUGGGACAAUGACCCCAUGGACCGAAGACUGUGAGGCGAAUCCCCACUAUUUUUCUCUUAUUGAGGAUAGUCCCAGCCAUGCAGAAUGGCACGUCCGUGCAGGCUGCCGUGACACCACAAGAACUCGUUGUCCUAUUUCUAGCCAGAGGCCCAGGUCCUGGCUCACCCUCAAGCUGCACGUGUGUGGGACAGACCCAAAGCAGCACGGCGAAGGCUUUGAGAACUGAACUGUGACAGAACAACUCACCCAAGUCUCAGGCUCAGCCCUGAAAGGUGCCUGUGUAGGACAGACACAUAUAAGACAGCAGAGGCUCUGAAAACUGAAUUGACACUGGAACCAACAGCCAGAGGUGGGACAGAACUUGUAGCCUGAACCUAACUAGGCUGCCUGCUAAAGCAAAAUGAAAAAUCAGCAUUCUUCAGAGGAUUUUCACAGAACCCAGGACUUACACCGUAACACUCAAAAUGUUCAGGUACAAUAUUACCCAGCAUGAAAAGAACCAGUAAAAUGUGAGCAACUCUCAGGGGAAGACAACCAACAGGUGCUAACCCUGAGAUAACCCAAACGGGACGAUCAAAGCCUUUAAAAUAGCUUUUGUAGCUAUGCUGCAUGGUAGAAGUAAACACUCUUGAAAUGAAUAGACAGACACUACAAAAAAUGAACUGAAUGGAAAUUUUAGAACCGGAAACUAUAAUAUUUGAAAAUUAAAAAAAAAUCACUGGCAGAAUAGAGGCAGGAAAGUCAGUGAAACUGAAGAUGAUAGAUCAAUAGAAAUUAUCCAAUCUGAAUGAACUGACAGAAAACAUUAAAAACAUGAACAGAACUUCCCUGGUGGCGCAG